rnacentral:misc_RNA from 1 species
GAUGAAGAACGUAGCGAAAUGCGAUAAGUAGUGUGAGUUGCAGAAUUCAGUGAAUCAUCGAAUCUUUGAACGCACAUUGCGCCCCUUGGUAUUCCAUGGGGCAUGCCUGUUCGAGCGUCAUUUGUACCUUCAAGCUCUGCUUGGUGUUGGGUGUUUGUCUCGCCUCUGCGUGUAGACUCGCCUCAAAACAAUUGGCAGCCGGCGUAUUGAUUUCGGAGCGCAGUACAUCUCGCGCUUUGCACUCAUAACGACGACGUCCAAAAGUACAUUUUUACACUCUUGACCUCGGAUCAGGUAGGGAUACCCGCUGAACUUAAGCAUAUCAAUAAGCGGAGGA